rnacentral:lncRNA from 1 species
AGGGAGUGUUUGGAGGGGUUGGGACAUAAGGUUGGUUGCCAGGGGAAGGUGUUUUUGGAGGAGUGGGAACAUUUGGAGGACUAUAAGAAGGAGACGGUGUUUUUGGAGGCGUUGGAAUAUAGGGUGGUUGGUUACGAGGAGAAGGAGCAUUUGGAGGACUAUAAGCUGGAGAAGGUGUUUUUGGAGGAGUGGGAACAUUUGGAGGACUAUAAGAAGGAGAAGGUGUUUUUGGAGGUGUAGGAACAUAGGGUGGAUGGUUACCCGGGGAAGGAGCUAUUGGGGGGGCGUAAAUAGGAGAAGGUGUUUUGGGAGGUGUUGGAACAUUAGGAGGAGUAUAAACAGGGGAAGGAGUUUGUGGAGGAGUUGGAAUAAAUGGAGGAUGAUUAGUAGGUGAAGGUGCUUUAGGAGGAACAUAGGGAGGACUGUGAAUAGGAGAAGGUGUUUUUGGAGGGGUUGGAACAUAAGGUGGAUAAGGAAUUUUUGGAGGAGUUUGAGGAGGUGUUGGAACAUAAGGUGCUUUUGGAGGAGUAAUUGGAAC